rnacentral:piRNA from 1 species
UGUAGUAUAGUUGCGGUGGUGUAUCG